UAUGGCAGAUUAUAUGUAAUGGAUUUAAACCCCAUUUAUAAAGGAUUAUCCUU
rnacentral:tRNA from 1 species